CAUGCAGUCGAGGGGCAGCAUAAUGGAUAGCAAUAUCUAUGGUGGCGACCGGCGCACGGGUGCGUAACGCGUAUGCAACCUACCUUUAACAGGGGGAUAACACUGAGAAAUUGGUACUAAUACCCCAUAAUAUCAUAGAAGGCAUCUUUUAUGGUUGAAAAUUCCGAUGGUUAGAGAUGGGCAUGCGUUGUAUUAGCUAGUUGGUGGGGUAACGGCUCACCAAGGCGACGAUACAUAGGGGGACUGAGAGGUUAACCCCCCACACUGGUACUGAGACACGGACCAGACUCCUACGGGAGGCAGCAGUGAGGAAUAUUGGUCAAUGGACGCAAGUCUGAACCAGCCAUGCCGCGUGCAGGAUGACGGCUCUAUGAGUUGUAAACUGCUUUUGUACGAGGGUAAACGCAGAUACGUGUAUCUGUCUGAAAGUAUCGUACGAAUAAGGAUCGGCUAACUCCGUGCCAGCAGCCGCGGUAAUACGGAGGAUUCAAGCGUUAUCCGGAUUUAUUGGGUUUAAAGGGUGCGUAGGCGGUUUGAUAAGUUAGAGGUGAAACUUCGGGGCUCAACCCUGAACGUGCCUCUAAUACUGUUGAGCUAGAGAGUAGUUGCGGUAGGCGGAAUGUAUGGUGUAGCGGUGAAAUGCUUAGAGAUCAUACAGAACACCGAUUGCGAAGGCAGCUUACCAAACUAUAUCUGACGUUGAGGCACGAAAGCGUGG
rnacentral:rRNA from 1 species